rnacentral:rRNA from 1 species
ACUCCUGCGGGAGGCAGCAGUGGGGAAUAUUGGACAAUGGGCGCAAGCCUGAUCCAGCCAUGCCGCGUGAGUGAUGAAGGCCCUAGGGUUGUAAAGCUCUUUCACCGGUGAAGAUGAUGACGGUAACCGGAGAAGAAGCCCCGGCUAACUUCGUGCCAGCAGCCGCGGUAAUACGAAGGGGGCUAGCGUUGUUCGGAUUUACUGGGCGUAAAGCGCACGUAGGCGGACUAUUAAGUCAGGGGUGAAAUCCCGGGGCUCAACCCCGGAACUGCCUUUGAUACUGGUAGUCUUGAGUUCGAGAGAGGUGAGUGGAAUUCCGAGUGUAGAGGUGAAAUUCGUAGAUAUUCGGAGGAACACCAGUGGCGAAGGCGGCUCACUGGCUCGAUACUGACGCUGAGGUGCGAAAGCGUGGGGAGCAAACAGGAUUAGAAACCCGAGUAGUCCCAUGA